UUAAGCGACUAAGCGUACACGGUGGAUGCCCUGGCAGUCAGAGGCGAUGAAGGACGUGCUAAUCUGCGAUAAGCGUCGGUAAGGUGAUAUGAACCGUUAUAACCGGCGAUUUCCGAAUGGGGAAACCCAGUGUGUUUCGACACACUAUCAUUAACUGAAUCCAUAGGUUAAUGAGGCGAACCGGGGGAACUGAAACAUCUAAGUACCCCGAGGAAAAGAAAUCAACCGAGAUUCCCCCAGUAGCGGCGAGCGAACGGGGAGCAGCCCAGAGCCUGAAUCAGUAUGUGUGUUAGUGGAAGCGUCUGGAAAGGCGCGCGAUACAGGGUGACAGCCCCGUACACAAAAAUGCACAUAUUGUGAGCUCGAUGAGUAGGGCGGGACACGUGGUAUCCUGUCUGAAUAUGGGGGGACCAUCCUCCAAGGCUAAAUACUCCUGACUGACCGAUAGUGAACCAGUACCGUGAGGGAAAGGCGAAAAGAACCCCGGCGAGGGGAGUGAAAAAGAACCUGAAACCGUGUACGUACAAGCAGUGGGAGCACGCUUAGGCGUGUGACUGCGUACCUUUUGUAUAAUGGGUCAGCGACUUAUAUUCUGUAGCAAGGUUAACCGAAUAGGGGAGCCGAAGGGAAACCGAGUCUUAACUGGGCGUUAAGUUGCAGGGUAUAGACCCGAAACCCGGUGAUCUAGCCAUGGGCAGGUUGAAGGUUGGGUAACACUAACUGGAGGACCGAACCGACUAAUGUUGAAAAAUUAGCGGAUGACUUGUGGCUGGGGGUGAAAGGCCAAUCAAACCGGGAGAUAGCUGGUUCUCCCCGAAAGCUAUUUAGGUAGCGCCUCGUGAAUUCAUCUCCGGGGGUAGAGCACUGUUUCGGCAAGGGGGUCAUCCCGACUUACCAACCCGAUGCAAACUGCGAAUACCGGAGAAUGUUAUCACGGGAGACACACGGCGGGUGCUAACGUCCGUCGUGAAGAGGGAAACAACCCAGACCGCCAGCUAAGGUCCCAAAGUCAUGGUUAAGUGGGAAACGAUGUGGGAAGGCCCAGACAGCCAGGAUGUUGGCUUAGAAGCAGCCAUCAUUUAAAGAAAGCGUAAUAGCUCACUGGUCGAGUCGGCCUGCGCGGAAGAUGUAACGGGGCUAAACCAUGCACCGAAGCUGCGGCAGCGACACUAUGUGUUGUUGGGUAGGGGAGCGUUCUGUAAGCCUGUGAAGGUGUGCUGUGAGGCAUGCUGGAGGUAUCAGAAGUGCGAAUGCUGACAUAAGUAACGAUAAAGCGGGUGAAAAGCCCGCUCGCCGGAAGACCAAGGGUUCCUGUCCAACGUUAAUCGGGGCAGGGUGAGUCGACCCCUAAGGCGAGGCCGAAAGGCGUAGUCGAUGGGAAACAGGUUAAUAUUCCUGUACUUGGUGUUACUGCGAAGGGGGGACGGAGAAGGCUAUGUUGGCCGGGCGACGGUUGUCCCGGUUUAAGCGUGUAGGCUGGUUUUCCAGGCAAAUCCGGAAAAUCAAGGCUGAGGCGUGAUGACGAGGCACUACGGUGCUGAAGCAACAAAUGCCCUGCUUCCAGGAAAAGCCUCUAAGCAUCAGGUAACAUCAAAUCGUACCCCAAACCGACACAGGUGGUCAGGUAGAGAAUACCAAGGCGCUUGAGAGAACUCGGGUGAAGGAACUAGGCAAAAUGGUGCCGUAACUUCGGGAGAAGGCACGCUGAUAUGUAGGUGAAGUCCCUCGCGGAUGGAGCUGAAAUCAGUCGAAGAUACCAGCUGGCUGCAACUGUUUAUUAAAAACACAGCACUGUGCAAACACGAAAGUGGACGUAUACGGUGUGACGCCUGCCCGGUGCCGGAAGGUUAAUUGAUGGGGUCAGCGCAAGCGAAGCUCUUGAUCGAAGCCCCGGUAAACGGCGGCCGUAACUAUAACGGUCCUAAGGUAGCGAAAUUCCUUGUCGGGUAAGUUCCGACCUGCACGAAUGGCGUAAUGAUGGCCAGGCUGUCUCCACCCGAGACUCAGUGAAAUUGAACUCGCUGUGAAGAUGCAGUGUACCCGCGGCAAGACGGAAAGACCCCGUGAACCUUUACUAUAGCUUGACACUGAACAUUGAGCCUUGAUGUGUAGGAUAGGUGGGAGGCUUGGAAGUGUGGACGCCAGUCUGCAUGGAGCCGACCUUGAAAUACCACCCUUUAAUGUUUGAUGUUCUAACGUUGACCCGUAAUCCGGGUUGCGGACAGUGUCUGGUGGGUAGUUUGACUGGGGCGGUCUCCUCCUAAAGAGUAACGGAGGAGCACGAAGGUUGGCUAAUCCUGGUCGGACAUCAGGAGGUUAGUGCAAUGGCAUAAGCCAGCUUGACUGCGAGCGUGACGGCGCGAGCAGGUGCGAAAGCAGGUCAUAGUGAUCCGGUGGUUCUGAAUGGAAGGGCCAUCGCUCAACGGAUAAAAGGUACUCCGGGGAUAACAGGCUGAUACCGCCCAAGAGUUCAUAUCGACGGCGGUGUUUGGCACCUCGAUGUCGGCUCAUCACAUCCUGGGGCUGAAGUAGGUCCCAAGGGUAUGGCUGUUCGCCAUUUAAAGUGGUACGCGAGCUGGGUUUAGAACGUCGUGAGACAGUUCGGUCCCUAUCUGCCGUGGGCGCUGGAGAACUGAGGGGGGCUGCUCCUAGUACGAGAGGACCGGAGUGGACGCAUCACUGGUGUUCGGGUUGUCAUGCCAAUGGCACUGCCCGGUAGCUAAAUGCGGAAGAGAUAAGUGCUGAAAGCAUCUAAGCACGAAACUUGCCCCGAGAUGAGUUCUCCCUGACCCUUUAAGGGUCCUGAAGGAACGUUGAAGACGACGACGUUGAUAGGCCGGGUGUGUAAGCGCAGCGAUGCGUUGAGCUAACCGGUACUAAUGAACCGUGAGGCUUAACCUU
rnacentral:rRNA from 1 species